GAGUGGACAUCUAUGGAUGAGAA
rnacentral:piRNA from 1 species